GGAGAGGUACCGAAGCGGCCAAACGGGGCGGUCUGUAAAACCGCUGGGUCUUCCCUUCGGAGGUUCGAAUCCUCCCCUCUCCACCA
rnacentral:tRNA from 1 species